GUUUGAUUAUAUACUUCAGUUCUUCUGUUUUAGUUUUGUUGACUCGAUAUAUGUAAAUAUGCAAUUAUAAUCUCUUUAGAUGUGUCGGUGGAUUUCAUCUUGUGGAAAAGUUAAAAUCAGUGCAUUAUUGGUGCUUAUGCAACGUAAUUAGUACAGUGAAAAUCAAUUAAACCUUGAUUUUAUGAUACUUUACAGGAAAAGGUAAACAGAAAUGACUUUCUCUUUCUCAUAAAGGGGUGCCUUUUGUUUGGAGCACCUUUCUUUCCAGGAUAUUUUUCAAGCCUAAAAAAUAUCAGGGUCAGUACGUGACAAAAAGAGCUUGCCUCAAAAGUUGUGGAUGUUAUCUCAGACUUCUCAUUUCUCAAAGAGGGGUCCCAUUUUUGCCACACCAUAACCUCUCUGGCAUAUCUAAGAGCUUCAUCAACAGUAGAAGGUUCCAAUCCAGAAACCAGUGAAACAAACAGCUUUCGACCAGUUAGAGAAUUGAACCAGCUCUUGAACUUCAUACCAAUGUAUUGAAAAGCACGUUGAGCCAGUGGAGGAUGGUUGCUACGUUUGCUAAUACUGGCGGUUUUAUGAUUGUGGCUAAUAACUGGAUCGAAGUCCAAAAACCAUUCACAUUGUGUUAGAGGAACCUGUUCAAUCUUUUCCUCAAACAGAUCAAACUUGGUCAAUAUGAGAAGAAAUUUCGUGUUGCUGAAGACUCUAUGAGUGAUGAUAUUUUGAAAGAGAUGUCUGGCAGCUAAAAUUUUGUUGGUAACAGCUCCUUUACUGUCUACCGUGUACUCAUCAUAGUCAGUCAAGGCCACUGAGAACAAGACUACAUCAGUGUCUUCAAACAUGUCUAACCACUUGCACUUUUCUCCAAGGCUUUUUGGAUGUACUCUGAUGAGCUGAUACCUACAAGCACAAACAAAGAUUCAACGCAGUGCCUUCCUCCACCAGUGGGGCAUAUUCACGAGCAGCUGCUGGAAAUAUUUCAUCCAAGUUGCCAGACAUCAUGUAUUGGAGUAGCCAAUCGGAGAAAGUUCUUAGUCUUGGACUAAUGGAAUAGGUUGUCGUGUCAAUAAUUUCUCCAGUAGUCCCUGUUGUAAACUAAACAUCAAUAACUUUUCUCCUUAACAUUCUGUUUAGC